AGGUUCGAUUAUGGCUCCAGUUGGUGGCGGGAUGCUUUACACAUGCAAGUCGAACGGCAGCACGGACCUGGUCUGGUGGCGAGUGGCGAACUUGGGUGAGUAAUGUAUCGGAACGUGCCUAGUAGCGGGGGAUAACUACGCGAAAGCGUAGCUAUUACAUACCGCCCUUCGGGAAGCAGGACCUUCGGGCCUCGCACUAUUCGGCAGCCGAUAUCGGAUUAGCCCAGUUGGUGGGGUAACAGCUCACCAAGGCGACGUCCAUAACUGAGUUUGAGGAGGACGACCAGCCACACUGGGACUGAGGCACGGCCAGACUCCUGCAGGAGGGCAGCAGUGAAAUUUUGGACUAAUGGGGAAACCUGAUCCAGCCAUCCCGCGUGUGUGCGAUGAGGCGCUUCGGGUUGUAAGCACUUUUGUGGAAAGAAACGGCACGGGAUGUACCCAUGCAACCUGACAAUGCCUGCAGAAUAAGCACCGGCUAACUACGUGCCAGCAGCCGCGGUAAUACGUAGGGUGCAAGCGUUAAUCGGAAUUACUGGGCGUAAAGCGUGCGCAGGCUUGGUUCGGAAGAAAAGAUGUGAAAUCCCAGAGCUUAACUUUGGAACUGCAUUUUCCGCUUUACCGAGCUAGAGUGUGUCAGAGGAGGUGGAAUUCCACGCGUGCUUGAUGAAAUGCGUAGAUAUGCGGAGGAACACCGAUGGCGAAAGUAAAAGCCUCUGGGAUAACACUGACGCUCAUGCACGAAAGCGUGGGAGCAAACAGGAUUAGAUACCCUGGUAGUCCCACGCCCUAAACGAUGUCAACUAGCUGUUGGGGCCUUCGGGCCUUGGUAUACCAACUAACGACAGUUGACCACCUGGGAAAUACGGUCACUAAGAUUAAAACUCAAAGGAAUUGACGGGGACCCGCACAAGCGGUGGAUGAUGGAUUAAUUCGAUGCAACGCGAAAACCCUUAUACCGCCUGACAUGUCUGGAAUCCCGAAGAGAUUUGGAGUGCUCGCAAGAGAACCGGAACACAGGUGCUGCAUGGCUGUCGUCAGCUCGUGUCGUGAGAUGUUGGGUUAAGUCCUGGCAAGCGCAACCUUGUCAUUAGUUGCUACGAAAGGGCACUCUAAUGAGACUGCCGAUGACAAACCGGAGGAAGGUGGGACAUCAAGUCACUCAUGGCCCUUAUGGUGAACCACCGUCAUACAAUGGUCGGAACAGAGGGUCGCCAGCCCGCGAGGAGGGAACCAAUCCCAGAAACCCGAUCGUGAUCCGGAUCGCAGUCACAACUCGACGCGACAAGUCGGAAUCGCUAGUAAUCGCGGAUCAGCGUGUCAUGGUGAAUGGUCCCGGGUCUUGUACACACCGCCCGUCACACCAUGGGAGUGCAUUUACCAGAAGUAGUUAGCUAACCGUAAGGAGGGCGGUGCAAAGUAGGACCCAUGACUGGUGAAGUCGUAACAAGGUAA
rnacentral:rRNA from 1 species